rnacentral:rRNA from 1 species
UACGGAGGGUGCAAGCGUUGUCCGGAUUUAUUGGGUUUAAAGGGUGCGUAGGCGGCCCGUUAAGUCAGUGGUGAAAGCCUCCAGCUCAACUGGAGAACUGCCAUUGAUACUGACGGGCUUGAGUACAGUUGAGGUGGGCGGAAUGUGUCAUGUAGCGGUGAAAUGCUUAGAUAUGACACAGAACACCGAUUGCGAAGGCAGCUCACUAAGCUGUAACUGACACUGAGGCACGAAAGCGUGGGGAGCAAACAGG